AACUCUCACAACCCUAUCCACUCACCCCUACCCCUCACCCCCACACACGGUUAGAAAGAAAGAAAGGAAGGAAGGAAGUAAGAAAGGAAGAAAAGAGAAAGAGAGGGAGCAGGGAGAAGAAGAGAGGGAGGUGGCGAUGCCGACGGAGGUGGGUAUUGCCGUCGUUGUCAGAACUGAGAAGGAGAGGGAGGAGACUUUGAGAGAGAGGAAUGUCAUCGAGCCAAACGCGAGAGAGAGAGAGGGGGCCACCGCAAUCCACGGCGCCACUGGAGGGAUUGUCGCACAUCACUCUGCCAUCAAGAUCGCUGCCGUCGUUGUCCAGUGUCGCCGUCGCGUCGCCAUUGAAGAAGAGAGGGAGAAAAGAACACAGGUCAGUGGCCCAAAGGGAGGAGUUACCGCCGUUGCUCCUCACCAUCAUUGCUGUUUGUAGUGACCAGAGGGAGCCGUGGCUGUCCGCACCACUGUCGGAGCUGCUGCUCUAUUCCACCAUUGUCUGCAUGCUCAGAUUGAAUCGUAUGCAAUGCAUAUACAAAUUGAAUCGUUACUUGAAGUAUCAUUGUAAAGCUUUAUUAAUUUGUAUAUAUAUAUAUACACCUUAAUUUGGCUUAUAUUGAAGAAGCUGGCAGACGAAGGGGAGAACAGGCAAUGGAUGGAGGACAUAAGAGGAAAACUAGCUAUGGUAGCCACUGUGAUCGCAACCGUAACCUUCCCAAAUGGGACUGAAUCCAUCGGGAAGUGUUGUCCAGAACGGUGAGCACAGGAAUAAAGAUCGUAAGCUUGAUCCUCAAAUUGAAGAGCAGUUUGGUGGUGGGAGAUUGCUGGCUUGCAUAGCUUCUCGACCUGAUUAAUGUGGCAGGGCUGACGGCUAUAUUUUGGAAAGUAAGGAGCUUGAAUUUUAUAUGAAAAAAAUCCAGAAGAAGGGAAAAGGUGUUACGUUAUUGAUCUAUUCUCAUACUUGUAUUUUGGAUGGGAUGGAAUGGGUCUUAUAAUGACUUUAAUUAUCGACAUGUAAUAUUUUGAUGUGUUGUGUACUUUUUGAAAAGAGACUUUACCCGGUAUUACAUGUAAUGGAUAAAUUACACUCUAUUUUGAUUUAUGUUGUUUGGAUUAAAAACAUAUCUAGCUUAUAAUGAAACUUUUAUGAUUUAGAUUUC